rnacentral:lncRNA from 1 species
CGACUCCACUACUCCCUGACAGCUAGCGGCAACGGACGCCGCUCCACUACCUGCAACAGGCUCUACGUGGCAGGCCAUGACAAUAGCCACGGGUCUACUCCACUACCAUUCGCAAUAAAUUUCCCUGACCAUGGGCAGCCCACUACCAGACGGUUACAAAUAUCUCCAUCAAUCCGUUGCCUCCUCCGCCUAUAAAAGGGGGACCC